GACGAACGCUGGCGGCGUGCAUAACACAUGCAAGUCACGGGGGCCAGCAAUGGCAACCGGCGAACGGGUGCGUAACACGUAAGCGACCUACCUCGAUGUGGGGCAUAGCCGGCCUAACGGCCGGGUAAUUCCGCAUGUGAUCCUUGAGGGGCAUAUCUCGGGGAUGAAACCAGUAAUGGGCAUUGAGAGGGGCCUGCGGCCUAUCAGCUUGUUGGCGGGGUAACGGCNCACCAAGGCGACGACGGGUAGCUGGUCUGAGAGGAUGGCCAGCCACAUUGGGACUGAGAAACGGCCCAGACUCCUACGGGAGGCAGCAGUGGGGAAUCUUGCGCAAUGGCCUAACGGCUGACGCAGCGACGCCGCGUCGAGGGA
rnacentral:rRNA from 1 species